CAUUACUGAAGCCAUAGAGUUUUGAGACUGCGUCUUGCGUGCUCGACUCUUAUUCUUCUUAUCCACACACCUUUGUGCACCGAUGGGACGAAAGUCCCCUUAUAAAUAAAUACCUAGUUAUAUGCAUGUUUGUUAUACUAAAUAAAAGUACAACUUUCAACAACGGAUCUCUUGGCUUUCGCAUCGAUGAAGAACGCAGCGAAUUGCGAGACGUAAUGUGAAUUGCAGAAUUCAGUGAAUCAUCGAAUCUUUGAACGCAUCUUGCGCUCCUUGGUAUUCCGAGGAGCAUGCCUGUUUGAGUGUCGUCUUACUCUCAGUUUCAAAAUUUUUGAAACUGGAUUUGAACGCUGUCGGCGUCGUCGACUCGUUCUAAAUGCAUUAGCGGUCUGCCCUUGAUCACAACCACAAUGUGAUAAACUUUUGAGCAUUGUUUUUUGUCAAGUGGCGACGGCUUCUAACCGUCCCUUUCGGGACAACCGACCUCAUUUGACCUCAAAUCAGGUAGGACUACCCGCUGAACUUAAGCAUAU
rnacentral:rRNA from 1 species